rnacentral:rRNA from 1 species
UACGUAGGGUGCGAGCGUUAAUCGGAAUUACUGGGCGUAAAGCGUGCGCAGGCGGUUCUUCAAGUCCGUUGUGAAAGCCCCGGGCUUAACCUGGGAAUUGCGGUUGAAACUACAGGGCUAGAAUCUGGCAGAGGGGGGUGGAAUUCCACGUGUAGCAGUGAAAUGCGUAGAGAUGUGGAGGAACACCGAUGGCGAAGGCAGCCCCCUGGGCUGAGAUUGACGCUCAGGCACGAAAGCGUGGGGAGCAAACAGG